AGAGUGCGUAAUAGCUCACUAGUCGAGAGGUCCUGCGCCGAAAAUGUCCGGGGCUGAAACACAACACCGAAGCUGCGGAAUUGCGAAUGCAAUUGGUAGAGGAGCAUUCUUAAUACCGACGAAGCUGUACCGGAAGGAGCAGUGGAGGGAUAAGAAGAGAGAAUGCCGGAAUGAGUAGCGAGAGAAAGGUGAGAAUCCUUUCGGCCGAAUAUCUAAGGUUUCCAGAGUAAAGCUGAUCUGCUCUGGGUAAGUCGGGGCCUAAGCACAGGUCGCAAGACGUAAGCGAUGGAUAACAGGUUUAGAUUCCUGUACCACGCAUUAUCAGAACUGUAGGGACGCAUGUGGAAAGCACGAGCCGGGAAUGGAAAGACCGGUACAAGCGGGGUAGGAGUACGAUAGGCAAAUCCGUCGUAUGAUCCGAAGACGUGAUGUGGAGCGAAAUAAAGUAGUGAAGCGUGUGAGCCAUGUGCCGAGAAAAGCUGCUAUUGUGUAAUGCGUGCCCGUACCGUAAACCGACACAGGUGGAUGAGGAGAGAAUCCUAAGGCCGACGGAAGAAGCAUUGUUAAGGAACUCGGCAAAAUGACCCCGUAACUUCGGGAGAAGGGGUGCCUGCGAGAGCAGGCCGCAGAGAAUAGGCUCAAGCAACUGUUUAGCAAAAACACAGGUCUAUGCGAAACCGAAAGGUGAGGUAUAUGGGCUGACGCCUGCCCGGUGCUGGAAGGUUAAGAGGAGAGGUUAGCGCAAGCGAAGCUUUGAAUUUAAGCCCCAGUAAACGGCGGCCGUAACUAUAACGGUCCUAAGGUAGCGAAAUUCCUUGUCGGGUAAGUUCCGACCCGCACGAAAGGCGUAAUGAUUUGAGCGCUGUCUCGACAAUGCAUCCGGUGAAAUUGAAGUACCAGUGAAGAUGCUGGUUACCCGCGCCAGGACGGAAAGACCCCAUGGAGCUUUACUCCAGUUUGAUACUGGGAUUCGGUACUGCAUGUACAGGAUAGGUGGGAGACGAAGAAGGAUGGACGCCAGUCUGUCCGGAGUCGCUGUUGGGAUACCACCCCUGUAGUACUGGGUUUCUAACCAGUUACCAUGAUCUGGUAAUGGGACAAUGUCAGGCGGGGAGUUUGACUGGGGCGGUCGCCUCCGAAAGGGUAUCGGAGGCGCUCAAAGGUUCCCUCAGAAUGGUUGGAAACCAUUCGAAGAGUGCAAAGGCAGAAGGG
rnacentral:rRNA from 1 species